rnacentral:rRNA from 1 species
UACGUAGGGGGCAAGCGUUGUCCGGAUUUAUUGGGCGUAAAGAGCUCGUAGGCGGUUUGGUAAGUCUGGUGUGAAAUCUCCACGCUCAACGUGGAGGGGCCACCCGAUACUGCUAUGACUGGAGUCCGGUAGAGGAGUGUGGAAUUCCCGGUGUAGCGGUGAAAUGCGCAGAUAUCGGGAGGAACACCCGUAGCGAAGGCGGCACUCUGGGCCGGUACUGACGCUGAGGAGCGAAAGCGUGGGGAGCAAACAGG